UGGGAAAAUAAAACAGAAUUUAAGAUGAAAAGCAUUCAAAAUGUGACUUUACGUGCAAGCAAAAGUUCACCAAGAAGAUACAUGUGGGGAUUUAAAGCAGGGACAGUGAAUCACUGUGAUUUGCAGAAGGAGGCACAAAGCAAUUAGCCAUCUGGAUGCAGUGGCUUCCAGCCCCCCAGCG
rnacentral:lncRNA from 1 species